AAGUUUUUUUAUAACGGCGAUUAUUUCAUAUUGCGCCGGUUAGAACCACCAAAAUGUUUUAAUCACAACAUUUUAAUUAUUCCCUCAACAGGUUUUAGUAUUUCCCCCCUUACAAUUUGAGACCCUCUCCAGAAUAUUCCAAGUCUCUCGUAUCUUUUCCCCCAAUAGGCAACGAACUCCUAAUUUUUCAACUUCAGAUUCUUCUAUUUCUCCCAAUUACUUUCUCCGGCUAGAAGAAUCGAGAUUCAAAACACAAAAAGUACAUAAAAUUCGUGUAGCAACUUCAAUAAUCUUCAGGAAGCCGAGGGAUCAAAAACUGCUGGUGAAGCUAUUGGGAUCAACGUCGAUAGUAAAAUAUUUGAUAGGAAAGAAUUGAAGAAAUUCGAAGGCAAAGAGCAAAAAGUCUUGAUGAACCUUAACCAAAUGAUGCACUUGGCAUAGGCUUGGGUGUAUUUUCAACUCUAUCAUUCAAAUAGACAUCUGCGAGAAACCAUCAUUGUUAUGUGGGUUCAUCUAGUACUACCGCUCCAACUCCAGAGUAGAAGCAAGAGAUGACAGAUGUGAAAUCAAAAUUAAAUGCACUAAUUAGCUUAUAUGAAAGGAACAUAGGAAAUAUCCCUGAGGAGUUUGCUCACUUAUUUUUCACUCCUCCACAGGCACCAGAUUUAGAAAGUGGUGCAUCAUCAACGAUUGAACCAAGAAGAUCUUUAGAUAAAAAAAGCAAUGAUGAUCGUCCAAGUGUGAAUUAUUGAUUUUUUGUAGGAUCCACUAUUAAUCUUUUGGAUAUUACUGUUGAAAUACAAUUAAUAGUUUGAUGAUUUAA